GGAAAAGCAGUCCUCAGCUGUACAAUUUUGCAGCCGUGUUAUGCACCUGGGAAAACUACCCUUCAUAUUAGAAUAUCUGUCACAUGCAGCUUGAAAGACACUGCAAGAGUAAAAGGGAUGGGAUCCUUACUCCUCCUCUUAGUAAUCGCAAGGGAUCAACGUGUUCCAUGUGAUCAAAGAAAGGUGAAACUUCUGUGACAACAAGAUGAAAACAGGUUUGCACUGCAUCCUGUGGGAUAUUAGAAUGAGCUGCCAAGAAGCUAGAAGACAGGUCUUUCUAGACAAAAUAUCUAGACCAUGGAGCAUAUGGCAGCCUCCAAGGAAGACAACAUGUCUCAGUCUGCUGGAGAACUCUUCCCUUGCAGGCGACUUCUUUGGGAGAUGAAGGGAGAUGCCAGGGAUUUGGAUAACGUUCACUCAUCUCAGUCUUGGGGAAAAAUCUAGAUGGGCUGAUACGUGUUUGAGGACAUUGUGGAUGACCUCCAGGGGGACCGAACUCAUCAGAAAUCAGGUAUUAAAGGGCCGCUUCACCACUCCUGUCCCAUGUGAGAAAUGCAGGCAGAAAAUAAGUGAGUAUGAAGUAUUUCUUUUCCAUUCUGACUGUAUUCCAACGUUAUCUGUACAGAUAUAAGCUGACUCUAAAUUGGAAGGUAAUACAAUACUAGAGGACAGAGGCCCAAUUCUCAUUUAAAUUUUGGCUACUUUGUAUUACUUGGCAAUAAACAGACAAUUGGGUCAACAGACACAAUUGGGUGCAAAUAAUCUCUUUAAGCUAAAUUGGCAUAGCGUCCGUAAAAGAAAUAUAAGUGAUAGUGCAUCCUCUGAUAUUAAAGUACAAAUAAAAUGUGGUAUCUUAGAAUGAGAACGAUUUGACUUUCCUUCAUGAUCAUCAUGCAUCUUUUCUAAAUUUUCUAUUUAUUGUUGUUGAUAAAGAGGAAGAUUUUUCACCAAAUAGCACAAGGAGUGUCACAGGGAGGUAAAGCACCUACCAAUAGCUUUGUAUGUUGUGUUGUUUUGUUUGCCAAGUCAAUUUACUUUUCUGUACUCUAUAUGAUAUCAUGCAGGCAGGUAGCAACUGAUGUGUUGUUUUUCAAUUUGAUGUGCAAGUAGGAAGUCAAUGUUUUCCAUCAGGAUACAGUUAUUACAGGAACAUCCUUAAGAUAUGUGGAGUUGGAUAUGCAAAUAGGGUGAAGUUUUCUCUGCUUAAUCUAAACUGUUAACAACACGGAAGGCAGGUAUCUGUGCCUAAUAUGGAAAAUAAAUAUUUCCAGAAAAGGGAGCAAUUCAGAUCAAGACGCAUGCUUCUAUAGUUAAUAAAAAGUGUUGUGGUUUUUCUAUUAACUAAUGUGACUCCUGAGUACUUCCUAACUGUUAUGGCUGACUUCAUUUCAUGCAGUCAGUCCUCAGAUGGUUAUCUGAGCUGUAGUUAAAAUUUGUAAGUGAACUAUUUUCAAAGUGAAAAUAUCAAAGGUUUUCUCAGUCUUCAGAGAGAUUAAACGUCAAGUUUUAUUUUAUUUUUGCUAGCAUUGAAGUGGAUCCAGAACCUUAGUUGUUAACUUUCAACUGGUUUCUGUAGUUCAGAAAUGUUUCUGAAACUUUACGUAGUAAUAAAAAUGUCUUACAACCUCAAAUAUUAAAUCAAAAGCACUCUUUUCUGUUGGUCUGAACCAAAUACAAAACCCUAUGCCAUGUGUUGACAAUGACUUCUUCAAUUUGAAGUGUUAUACUAUGCUAUUAAUUGUAGCAUUUAAUUAAAAUGAUUGCAUUCAUUAGAAUCAAAGACGCUACAGAUGGAUAAACUGUUCUAUCACUGAGAACAUCUCCCCAUUUAAACUUGCAACAUUAUGUAGCAAAAAGGUGUUCAAUAUUAUUCUGUUCUACUUCUGAAAUUAAGGGGAAAAUAUUACAGUAAUAGUAUAUAUGUUAAUCUGUGUUACAAGACUGAUACACCUUGCUUACUAAUAGUAAUUUAUUAAGGGUUGUGACACAUUUUUUCUUUUCAUCAAACUGAGAGGGUAUAAGAAUGUAGUUCAGCAACAACAGCUACAUUUCAUCAUUUCAUUAUGUCCUUUGUGCAAAUAUUUUGCUCCAAAUGGCAUUUUAACAGUUACGAUUAGAGAACUCAGUUUCAUACAUCAAAGAUGAUCCCAGGCUAUGGUCUCAAUACCAAAACCCAAUCUCCUUUGAAGUAUGUGGAUUUUCAUGUCUUUAGCAUUGACUAAUGUCUCAGCUAGAAGUAAAAAAUGUGUAAGUAUAAAUUCAAAUACGUUUAAUCAAAAACCUAUAUAUUUAUUACCUGAUAUUUUCUUUAUUGACAAUAUAUUUUGAAUAGAAGUCUGUAAAACUUUAAGUGCAACAUAAGUAAAACAAUAUCAUGAAACACUUAUCAUACACAUAUUCAGUGGUAUCCAAAUAAUUUGUGGCCAAAUUCUUUUCUUUAGUAUUAUGACCACCACAUAAAUGUUCCUAACUAUAUUCCUUUUGCAUCAUAUUUGCAUGUGUGGAACUCAAAAAGGGGAAUGGGGAAGUUUUUCAAUUGGCAUUCUAUAUUCAAUUUGAGUUGCAAUACACUAUUUUGCAUUACAUAAAUAUUUUCCAGGAAAAAUAAUACAAAUACAUAAAUAAUUCCUAUGUUAAAUUAAAACAGAUGAGUGUGAUCUAGAAAGCCUUGCGGUGAGAAUCUGCUUAUGGGUGCCAGCUUUGCUGUAACAUAAGCAGGCUCAGCCGUAGGGACUGGUCUAAUGUGUAGGACAUAGGGAUAUAUCUCCCUCAGACAUACAAUUCUCUUUCUGGUCUUCUCUGAUGCAAGAACUGAAGUAUUAUUGAUGAUAAGUGGUGAUUUAAACUGGCCCUGGUGCUGUAUUGCUAUCAUCCAAGGGCAUGUUCUAAGGUGCAUUUGCUGCUGACAUGAGCCAGCAACUGAAACAUGCCCACUGGUGUGCAGUUCCCAGAAGCACUCAUUCUGCUUCUGGUCACACUAGAUCUGGUCUGGGCUGAUGUGAACUGCUUGUAAAUUUUGUACUGUUUUAGAGGCAUGGGUUUGCCAAGCAUGUUGUGCUGAUUUGGUCACAUUGAAAUAAUAAUCUAAGAUUAAAAUACUUCCAGAUCUCUUACUUUAGGUGUGAGGAAAUUACUAUUUAACUAGAAUGAGAAUACACAAAUAUGUUUGUGUUGAGCUGUGGUGCUUGUUUUGUUAGGGAUCCAAAAUAAUUUUAUGUGUAGGAAAGUCUCCUGGAGGGCACACAGUGUACGGUAAGGUGGUGUUUGAGUUCACUUUGUUAUGGUGAAAUUUACCUAUGGCACACUGGAGGGACUUGAGCAAGGGAGAGAUUACCCACAGUGUUUGAAGAAAAGAAAAGGUAAUACAUUUUGCAAAUAACACCUCUCUGUGGGGGGUUUAAGUGCAUCCUACGUAUUGGUUGGAUAAUACAAACUAAAAGUAACUUUUCUGAUCUUUGUGAGCGAGGUAAAAUUGAGCUAAGGAGACUGGAAGAAAAAUGCAAGGGAAUAAACAUUUUCUAUGAAAUUAAACCCAAUACAAUUGAAGCUGCAGGGAAAAUCAGCAGUUAAAAUAUAAUAAACAGUCUUGAAGUCUUUGAAUUCCCACAGGAAGGAAUUGUUCUGUUACAGGAAUCCAGUAUUAUUAAGUGGAAUUCACCCGACAGGGCAGGAAAUCCCUUGUAGGAAAAGCAGAAGUUUAAAGCUCAAGGCUCUGUAUUGAACUUCCACUUUGUGCUUUUCAGUUAAAGAGAGAGUAUUAAAAUAAGAGAAAGAUAAGGCAACAACACUGCUCUUGUUAUCCAAGCUUGCCAUGCAUCCUGCUUCUGCCCCUCAUUACUGGACUUAGCACCUGGUUAGCCUCUGUGGGACUGAAAAUACUUUCUUAUUGAACAGAAUGUGAAGGCAGAAAAAAAAAAAAAGGAAAAAGGAGUUCCUGCUAAGAAAAUAUUGCAGGAGUGAUUAAGAAAUAGAACAAGAUGAGUUUCUGUCUGAUUGUUCAGGUGCAAAGCCAGAGUUGAUGUAAAGCAGGGAUGGGACACAGGUGUGCUUGUUGAACUUCCUUGGUGCUGUCCCUGUGGGGGUCACAAACCUUAGAGGUAGGGAAAGCUGCUGGGACGUGUAUCAUGUAUGCCUGUUCAUGAAUGGUACAUUCUUGUUUGCACAUGUGAUGGAAUUAAUAUUGGUGGAAGAAGCUGUCAGAGAUUUAAAAAUGACAGAGUAAAAAUGUCCCAGUGGAAGCAAGGGGCUCUACGACAGGAAGAAGCAAAGGCCGAGGAAAACAUCUGUUACAAACAGUAAUACAGGGGAUGGAAAGAAUAGUGUGGGAGGCAGAAGCACAUAUGCCUUGCUGCCAAGCAUACUGAAAAUAAGCUAACAUGUCGGAUUUCACCCUCCGCCCUUUGACAGAAAUGAAAAAACAAUGCAAUCUGCCACAGCUGUAGAAAGUAUCAGUAGAAGGUAAACAGGUAUAGGAAUGGUGCUUCAAAUAGCUGACACGCAGAAGUGCGAGACAGAUACCUGUGGAGGAAGGAAGGGCAGAGUUGAUAAAACACAAAUUAAGUCUGUGUCAGUAGAAGGACGUAGGAAGGUCAAGGCAAAUCAGCUGAAAUUGAUUCAACUGGGUGGAUUAUCUCAUUCUGUAGCAAAGCAGUCAUAAAGCUUAGCUGCAUUUCACACAAGGGUGGGGAAAUUGUAUUUUUUGCAUACUGACUUCAGACUUUCAGCCAAGCUGCCUUUCCUGAGUGUCCUGUAGUCAGAAAUUACAACUGAGUAUAACUUGUGCUUUCAAGUCACUCCUGGAGGAGGUGUCGCAGGUAGCGAUGUGACAGGCAUAAAGUGUAUGCAGAUUGCCCAAUUAGAUAUAACCUGCUAUUGAAGAAACUGUUGCAAUUGUAACAAAAUACAGCACAAACAGUUGUGCGAUAUAGGAAUGUUGAUUCAAAAUCUGUCCUAUGAAUACAUAUAUAAUGUAUUUGCCUUUUCCACUUACUUGCUGGCGCACUGAAGUGCUUCUGGAUUUUGUGAAACAUUCAGUUCUGAAACAUAAGGUACUUUCUCUAAUAAGGUGUGAUGGAUAGGAACGUAGGUAAGAGAAGUAUCCCAGCCCCAGUCACACAGAGCACACAGGGAUUAGUCAUAGAUUUUCAUCCUGAACUGUAGCUCAGGUCAGUGUCAGUUUAGUGGAGAUUUAUACCAUGCAUUGUCUGCUUUUUCAUCAAUGUGAUUUUGAAAGCAAUAUAUAACUAUGGGAGUGUAUUCAAAAAUUGAAAGUCGCUGGUCUCUAAAUAACACGUGUAAGUGCAUUAGAUGAAAAGCGCUCUUCUCUCCCCCAGGUUUAGCAGAGGGAAAAUGACAACACUCAGCAUAUUUCUAAAGGUGUGGAGCAUCAUUCAGUUUCAGAUGGAGUAUCUUUAUUUUAUUCUGUCUAGCAAGUUGCAGCUAGAUUUAUCUCCUGUGCUCUGGCAUAGGAGAGUGUGAAAGUGUUCCUUGUCUCCUCCAGAAAAAUCUCACCCACCCACUGGUGUGAGGAGUAAAUUGUUCCUUCUCUUGGAAGCCUUCUGCCUUCUAAUGUUGUAUUCACCACUGUGGUGUCUGGAAACUUUCUGAGAAUGAGUUAAGUGUUGCAGCUGAAAUCUGGCACAUGUCCUUCCCUGGCCUUUUUGCCUUUUCACCAAAACCUCUUUAAGAAGCAAAUGCCUUCUGUAUCCCCCCAUGCUCACCAUAUGAGGCGAGAUCCAUGCAGGAGGUAAACUGGUGUUUAUUUUAGUGUUCGGAAGUCUCAUUGAUGUGUCUUUCUCCCAUCCUGGGGGUUAAUUUGAUUCCUGAGUUUUGUAUCAAGAAAUAAUUUUCACAGACAUCAGUCUGCUGAGGCUGGACAUGAGAGAUCAUUAUGCUUGCCUGAUUCACUAGGAGGUGAAGCACUGCCCCAGAAAUUGCUCAGCAGAGCCAGCAAAUAGACUCCUAGUAUGGGAAUUUGGGGUACCUGUUCUCUGAUGUACCCUUACUUCAGAGUAUAACAGAGUCAUAUCUUUAGGCUUGUAAAUUAUAAACCUUAUAUUUGUCAUAAGUUGGGAGGAAGUUUGUGAUGUGUGAAUGGGGAGUACUUUUUCCACAGAUCAGUUCCAGACUAAGCAGCUGCUAUCACGUGAUUGCCUGAGAUUUUGGGAACUAUUUGAUGAUCUGUGUGACCUCUCCUAAUCUUAUUAUUAUCGUUGUUGCUCUCUGCUUUUUCAUGCUUUUUGGUGGUUGCUAUAGAGACAUCGUACUCUCCUUCAUUCUUAAGUGGGAGUGCGAGCCAAGGCAGCGCCUCCAGCCUCCCUCUCUUUCUCACCUUCCUCCCUCUCUCACACUUUCUGGCUGUCACUGGGAAUCAUGUCAAGCUCCUUUUCUCCAUCUCCUAAAGAAGCAUUGAUGGCCUCUUAGCACCAGCAUGCUCGUUCAGCAUUUUUCACCAUUCCUUGGGGAGAAGUGUGGCAACACAGAUUGCAUCCAGCACAUGUGCCACUGGCAGCCAGGGGCGUGCCCCACUUGGGCUUGUGGAUUGCCUAGGUUCCAUGCAGCACAGCCCUGUGGAGCACCCCAUUCUGCCGGUUCAGCAGCACCGAGACUGGAUGCUGCGUAACAGUAGUAAGAGACUCUAGCAGAAUGAUAUUAGAAUGCUUAUGGUUGGUUGAGAAUGAGAAAAUCACAUGCUUUUGAACAUUGCAGAUUAAGUGUGAGUUGUUUCCAGGAGAUGUGUAUGGAGUGUAUUUAAAUUUGUAUUUUUAAUAGUCUAUUUUGUAAGUGAUAUUCCUUUACAGGAUAAAUCGACUGGAUUAGGUAUGGAAUCAUCUGUAAUUAACUGGGUGCUAGCUACUUAGGAGGGCACAUACAGCUUGUGUUAUUAAACAGCAUCAUGUCAGAUUUAAUGGAUGUCAUUGCAGAAGUACCUCAGGGAUCUAUCCUUGGACCAUUCUUAUUUAUGAUCUCUAUAAAUGAACUGACAAGCCAGUGCACUGAGUGCAGUGUUCAUUUUUAUUCUGAUGACACAGUCAUGUCCUGAGCUCCUAGCUGCUAACUGAACUUGAAAUUGCACUUUGUGUCUUUUUGAGAGCUCAGCAAUGGUUAAUUCUCAGUUAGGUUGUUUUAAGCAAUUCUGCGGCAGGCAUUCUGACUAGUGUAAUACUCUGUCAGAGCAGGCCUACAAGUAGUCUUAAACAGAUCUAAAACCUUAACGUAGAGGAGAAAAAAAUCAUGAAGCCCCUGUACUACCAAAAAUUGUUGUUCUUCACAUAAUAGUCUUUUGCUACAAACAGAUUUUUCCAUUUUUUUUUUCAGUAAUAUCUGGUCUCACUGAUUGUAUGAGGCAUAUAAUUGCUAAAUAUGGAUGUGCAAACGAAAUCAGAAGUGAAUUAAUGCAAACAUAUUUUUAUUUGCAUUGUGCUGAUUUCUAAUUUUCUGGAGCUUCAUUGAUUUGGGUUUUUUUUUUUUGUAUGUUUUUCUUUUCCUCCCCCACAUUUUUGUAAGAAAGGAAGAUAUUGUGUGUCCUUCUCAGAUAUCUUUGCAAAUCUCUCCCUGCUGGAAAUCUGCUUUUGAUAGUGCAAAUUGCUUUUUAUCCAAUGACAGUGAUAUGACUUAUAUAGAUCAUCUGCUGAUAUAUCAAAUCUUGGGGGGGAAAAAACCUGGAGGUUAAACCCAGAUUCUGCCCUUGGGUUUGGAUUAAGAUUACCCAUGGGGGAAGGAAGCAAGUUCCAACAAGUCUUUAUUUCCGCCUAUAAAUUGAACUACAAGGCACCAGAGACAAAAUGAGGAAGCUGAGCUAAUGCUCCUGCUCUGGAAAAUUGUGUUAGUGGCUCUGAUAAAAUUGAGGGUCUGACAUGGCAAACGGAAUUUAGUGUACAAUGAAAAUGACUGAGGGGAAUGGGUCAGAAGGUGAUUCAUUCAAUAGAAAGUAAUCAGCAGAGUAUCAUCAUAAGUUGCCUGUCCAUAAGCAAAUGAAAAAUGACCGGUGUUUCUUCUAUUGUCUCAGCUGUACCUGAUUGUUAGUGGGUCACUGUACUGAGCUGAGGGCUGGGAGAAAGGUAGAAAUGUAAGGAGCACUUUGGCACUGAGAUUUCUCUCAGGGAAAGGUACUGGGUGAAGGACAUCUUCCUUGCCAUGAAAAGGACAGGGGAUGUUCAGCCCAGGAGCCGGUUUGCUGUGCCUUUUCCCCAUGCAAAUUCCUCUCCUCCACACACAUAUACUUAUCCCUCAACAAAGCCAUACAAAAGGCCUUUAUACUGGUCCCCACCUACCGGAGUAAUAUUUUUUCCUGCAGCUUGUCCUAGUCUCGGAAACUUAUUUCUGUUUGCUUUCAAUUUUGCUACAUUUCAUCAAUUCAGCUGCCAAGUGAAAAAUUAAAGCACUGAAGUAACUGAAAGUACCAGUCCUGUGACAAAGCAGGAGUUUUCCAUUCAAAUUUCUACCCAGAGAAAAACAUUCUCAACAUUUAGUCAUAGUCUUGUCUGGCACUCAUUCAGACAAAUCCUUUCUACUUUUUAAGUUUCCCAGGCCCUAAAUGAUGUCACUGUUUAAAAGAGAUGUAUUGCCCUGAUUCAUUUUCCUUUGACAGUUUAGCAUCAGUGUAAGUUUGACUUUCUGGACAACAGUUCCAGGUCAUCGAAAGGAAGAUGAUUUACUGUUCAGUUAACGACAUGUGUCACGUUCUUUUGUUACCUGUAACACAUUGCAUCCUUUUGGGGGGAGAAAAAAAAAAUCAUAAAGAGAAUGUGUUUAAAUUCUUUUUAAACUGUCAAAGAAAUACUGAAGCUGCUUAGCUGGUUCUCUAGGGCUUUUAUCAUGAACUGGCCUCCCAGAACCUACAGAAAAGAUAGAAACUGGAACUGAUUUCUUUUUUUCUGAGUUCUGAAUAACUGCAGCAGGCAUUUUCUUAUGCUUAAUCAGUAAAUACUAUAAUAACUUCCAAACGUGGCUCAUAUGGUUAUUUAAAGCAGAACUAUGGUUGUUUUAAUAUGGUUAUUGUAGCCAUACAUUCUGUUUUUAUGAGUUUUUAUAUAGCACUAUUACUUAUAUGCUAAUGUUAAGGAUAUUGUUAUAAUUUGUUUUAUGUGUUAAGUAUUAUAGAGGCAGUUGCUAGCAUCACUACGGUUUAGGGUCUUAUGAGCAUCACAUCUGACAAACAAUUGCUUGCUGCCAGAAGCCCAAUGAAAUGUUUAUAGCCAGGAAUACAAAUCACCUUUGCAGACACUUUACAUAGAUUUUCUUCAAGUAGGGGAAACCAUCUGAAUGUGUUCUGUAGGAAUGUUUGUAGUUCUCUACACACACAGGCUUGCUUGUGUAGAAAAUUCCCAGGUUAUUGGUGCUUCCCUGUUGGAAUGGUCAGAGGCACAUUCUUCACAGUUGCUUUGCCUCACCUUUUAUCAAACAUCUGUGUCAUUCGAUCCCUUUUUGUACAAGUCCCAUGGAAGGGACGUGAAACUCCUUGCAUGCUUUAGAGGUUCCUUGUUUUCUUUUUGUGACAUGCUCAGUGCUUAUUUUAUUUGUCUCAUUCUAAAAGCAAAGUGAUACAUUUCCUUUGAGAGGGACACUCAGAGGCAGCAGUGACAACUUGCUUUUCUAGACAAACUCCUACAGGAGCAUUAGUGCCAGUAAGUUCUGCAACAGGAAUACAUUCCUUAUCCCAGACAUUAAUGACAUAUGUGCUUUGUCAAGUGUUGUCAUCAGGCUCACCAGGGACUCAUAUGACAAUGACUUCUUAAUUUUUUCUUCUGUCUCCGGGAGUGACAUAGUGGAUUUCUGCUCUCCUUUGCCACCUGGAGUUCUGUGAGGCAAGCUUAACGGAUUCAUUGCUUAUGCUCAUACUGACUGGCUGUGGAUUUGAUAUUGUAAGGGUUGUUGGUUUUGCAGGAUAUUUAUUUACUAAGAUGAUAGGACUUGAGUCCUUCUGCAUAAAUGAAGGGCUCAUUAAUUGAAGCAAAUUAUGUUUGAGCAGAAAAGCUUUGCAGAUGAAAGGCCUGUUUCAAAGAGACCAUCUCACCAGCAGCACUUCACUGUCAGUAUUCUAAUAUUAAACUGGUAGAGUUUUCUCAUGGUGAAUGAAUAUGUAAGCCUACAUGUCACAAAUGCAGUUUCAACACUAGAUGAUGUCCACUAAGUACAUCCUUAAUACAAAAUGAUUCAAAUUCUCAUGCACAAGUGGAUAUUAAAUCAUAUAGUCCUAUGAUGAUGCUAUAAUCACAGCAUUUUUAGGUAAAAAGUAUCAGGAGAAAGAUGAAUGCUGCCUAUUUCACUUCUGUGGUUAUAUUUUGAAGGUGGUUUGAUCUAGAAAACAUCUACUAGAAUAGGACAGAGUUAGAAGAUUGCCCCAACAGGCUUUACAUGUGAAAUGGGCAACCAGACAGGCCUGGCUGCCAUAACCUGUCAGCACUGCCAUGCCUGUUAUGUGAUUGUGGAACGCUAAUUUUGAAGAAUGAAGCACCACAAUUUGGGGUUUUCAGUCUGAGUCUCAUUGUGCAGUGAGGUUUUAAGAUACCAGUUUCAUUCUAAGUAAUUAUCCUCUGCAGAAACUGCCAAUUCCACAUUUGUACCCUGCUUAAGGCCCUUGGGACGGAGUGCUAAGCUUUUAGGCACUAGACACUAUAGAGUGUGUGGUCUCUUUGACUAAUAGUUUGAUUUCAAAACAUCUGUGUGCGUAUCACUGAAAGGAAAUUAAAUUGAAUUAUAAUUAUCACAGCCAUUUAUGCCCUAAAUUAGUUAUCUAGCUAUUCACAGAGAGGUCAGCAAGCCAAUGGACUAUAGAGUAACUGGCAGUAAAAGCCUUACUAGGGUAAAUAAUAAUUGUUUACAAUGUUGUGGAGCCUGCAGACGAGAGGACAGGGAUACGAUAUACAUCGCUUUUCUGUAGAGAAGGAGCAAUAAGACUGGUGGUAGUAGGCAAUCUGUAAUAGCAAAGUGGCAGAGUAUAUCAGACCCAUUAUGACACAUUUGGUGAUUGAGACUCCAGAUUCCACUUUUUUUUUCUUUCUUUUUUUUUUUUUUUUAAGUUGAAAGACAAAUAGGGCAGAAUUUUGUCAGAAAUUUUGUUGAUCUUCUCUGACAUCCUGUCUCACAGAACCAGAUACAAGAGCAAGACAUGCUUUCUAUGUGAGGAGAGGUACCAAGGGAAUGGUUUCUCUAGUGAUUAUCCCCAUAUGUAUUAAGCACCCAGCUCUAAUUUAUUACACAAGCUAGACAAAGCCUGCAUGCUGAAGUACCUAGAUUAUUACUUUUGGAUGGCUUGUAACAUUUUUACAUCUCUCUGAUGAAAAUGCUUGACAAAAGACAGCUCUUCUUAUUUGGAAGAACUAUGCUAUUGCUAAAUGGAAUAUCUGUGCUUUGUAGCUUGGGAAGGCAUGAAUCUAAAAUACUGAUACUAUGUAAAACAGCCCUGUCACCCAUAUGACGUGGAUGCCACUACAUGUUCUCCACCAAUGAUUGAUGUGACAAACUCCAUAUGUUAAAAAGAGACUGAGGAAAAUCUUUUUUUCCCAGAUGGAAAAAAUAUGUAACAGUGGUACACAAACACUCUUUGCAGAGUUCCUCUGUCUCCUCAGCAGUAAUAAUGUAUCUAAAAAUAAAACUUGGAUCUGGAACAAGAAAAAUAUAGCCUACUGCCGCCCUAGUUUUUUGCACAAAAGAAAUGUAGACAUUUAAAGGUGUCAAGGGAAAGUGAAUUUUUAUUUAUACUGGCCAUGCUUAUUAUUAUUCAACACAAUUAUCUGGAGAGAGAAUAAGGAAGAGUGCUUAAGGUGUUGCUUUCCAAGUAAUUAACAAAAAUAUUUCAAACGUACACAAAGACUGGCAGAUCAUUCAUCAGUGCUUAUUUGGGGAAACAGCUCUCAAUAGUUUAGCCACAUGGGUUUGUGACUGCACCUUAAGGGAGCUUCGUAAUUAAAGAAAAAUAAUUACAAUUGUUAGUGAAGAAUAUUUUAUUAUUACUGAAAGAAAUGAUGCAAGACAGGAUAGGUAAAACAUAGUUAAAAGAUCAGUGAUGAUAUCUUCGGAUACAAUGUCUUAUAGGUGGUUCUGUUUUGGAGAUCAUUUAAAAAAAUAAAAAACAUUCAAAAGAGAGUGUUCCUAGUGGAGACACUGUUUCUAUGUGAAAUAGUAUUGUUGCAAAGCACAGAGAUUUCUAAAAAUUACAUACCAUAUGUAUUGGCAAAGAAACUUCAAGGGUUGAUGAAUGGUAGGUUAUUAAUUUAUAUAUUAUCUGUUUAUAAGCUAUCAGUUUCUGGGCAGAAAUAUUUGCUAAUAAAGACAAUAAAGGAAACUAAGAUUCAAAGAGUAUUUAAAGAACAAUUCUGAGAUAGAUAAAUUCAGGAGCAUUAAGACAUUGUGCAUUUCAGUUAAAAGCCAACACUUCUACCUGUGCACCAAGGUGAGCUGAUGAAAGCUCUUUUUUUCCAAGGAAGCUGAGAAGGCAGACAACAUUGUUAUUAUGUAGCCUUAUUUUCAGCCAACAUCAUGGAGAAAGCUUCCAUUUUCAAAGCGUUUGAGUUUUGAAAACAAAGAUUUUUAUUGUUAAGAAAUGUUCUGGAAACAUUUUUUUCUGCUCUAGGCAUUCUCCACAGUGUUUGAGAAUGUAGGACUUGUCUAAUGAGUUUCAAGACUUCUUUGUUAUGAGUUUAAAAAUAAAAGUUUGCGAGAAGCACUACUGUUUUAAAAUGCUGUUAACAAGCUGAUGAACAGUUAUCCUUACUGCAAGGCUUUGCACUGUUUUGCACACCUUUAUUUUCUUCUAAAGCAAAGAUGUUUUAAAGAAUUUUCUUUCUGUAAAUAAUGAUUAUGAUCUCAAGAGCUGCUACCUUUAAAAAGCGGUAAUGUCUUGAUCUCUCAGAAGUUAUUCUUGAUAGUUUGCCUGCAGCCAAACUUUCCCUAUUUCACAAUUCAUAAUAUGUUUAUAGUAUGGAGUAAAGAACUACUGUCAAAUAAUCUUCAGAGUGCACAAGUCUCUAUAGUGCAUAUACACACAUUCUCCCAAAAUGGAAAGAAAGUAAGGAGUAGAUUAGAAAGCUCUUUACUGUAUUCUAAGUACAAUUGGCAGUAAUAAGUUUGGGGCUUAUGGCCAUGUUUAUUUCAUACUUUUGGUCCUAAUGGUUUCUUAGCAAACUGUGGGACUUUCCAGGUAUUUCCUAACCUUCAUUUUGCUAAAUAAGUAAGCACUCACAGUAAGCAUGUAAGAUCUAUUAUCUUCGAAGAUCACAAACACUCAAUAAUAGUGUCACCUUUAAUUAAAGACAGGUAAAAUUUUAAUAGCUUAAGAUUAAAAUACAAACAUAUUUUGCAUCAAUAUUGAGGAUAGUUCCUUUUAAAGAAAGAAACGAGAACAUUAUCAGGUUGACUGGAAGAAUGUGUGUGUUAAUACACAGGCAAAACUGUUCUUACAGAGAAACAUCGCUGAAAAAUAUCAAAUGUGAAGUACUGAGAAGGUACUAUCAACAUCAGGAUUCGAAGUCAUUUGAUAUGGAAAUAUUUGUUAGAUGUUAACUCUAAAUUACAUGUCAUCUUCCAUUUCUUUUUGGAAAUAGUACUACUCUCUAUGCUCAUUUGCAUUGGUUUCAGACUUUUUCACUCCUUUCCUAACUUAUUUUACAGCUUGUGCAUUUUUCACAGCUGGAUAACAAGCAGAAAUCCCAUUGCACAACAUAUAGUCCAUGUGAAGAAAACUAAUUCUAUGCAUGGAUCAUGCAGUGAAGCAUACAGGAAGAAAAUUUCAAUAACUUUCUAGGUUUCUGAGUAACCAGCAAACACAACUGGAGCAGAUUUUUAGGAUACUGAUCCUAUUUUAGGACUUGCAAAGGGGAUGAAUUUUGAAAGUGGUUCAGUCUGAGCACAUUAGCUUCAGAAGUUAUCACGUUUAUGACCACAUUUUGAGAAUAGCUCAUUCUCCAGUGGACUUACAAAAUUCUAGGACCACGGUUUAAAUCACAGUUUAAACCUGUUUUCAGACAUAAGCAUAUUGUUGGUUUUUUGUUUUGUUUUGUUUUGGAAGGAAUUCUGAAGGUAGACUGAUUUGUUUGGUAAAGAAUAUAGAACUUCAUUUCCUAGGUCUUGUUUGUGCUCAGUCUUAGCAUGCUCAUGGAGCUGUGAGGGAUAGAGUCUUGGCCCACUACCUUCUGAAAGGUUUUAUUUAGAAAAUAUAGCUCUCCUAACCUGAUAACAGUUGGGCUGGUGCUGUUCCCAGACAGAUUUUUAACUUCCCUGGGUAUGCAGGGAAGAAUCCAAUUCUAGGGUUCGAUGGAUGAGGAAAUUUUUGCAGGGUCGAUGAGAAUGAGUUUGCAGUUGUUCAAUGCUAGCAUGUCACAGCAACAUAUUUGGCUGUGCAAAUUGUUUUGUUCAAUAUGUUGAUGUUUGUUAGCAUGAGCGUAUAUCCUGUUGGAUGAUCUGCUAUAGAAGAUAUUGUAGGUAGAUAAUGUUUUCCAAAUGGGCUUGGAAAAUAAAGAAAAAAACAACAUCAAAAAAGACAAUCAUUAUUUGUGUCUUUUGGAAACAGUAAGUCCUUCUAAAUACAAUUCACUGGUUAUGGGAAUCACAGUACAUUACAUCAAGGUCGUAUUAUACCCUCAGAGAUGGUAAAGUCUCAUGCUAAUGACCUAAAGGUCUAAAAGAGCAAUGAAGUAUAAAUCAAUUAUGAAGAUGUAAGAAAAAAACUAAAGUAUUUCCUCAAAGCUUGGCUCACAAAUAACCUGAAAAAGCAUAGUGAAGGUAUGUAAGAUCAUUUGGAGUAUCUUACCUUCAUUUUAGUGGGAUUUUAAAAGCUUGAUCUGGAAGAAUUCAGACUAAAUUUUAAGAUUGCUGAGGUUCAAAUUAGGAUCAAGUUAAACAAAACACAAAUACCUAGGUUUAAAAAAAUACCUAGAUUUCAAUGCUUGAAAUAUUUUUGCCAAUACUUAUCAAGCUGAAGGCCUUCUCUCUUUGAUUUCCAUAAGCUUUGCACGUUCCAUUCAGUUCCCCAGACUACUUAAUGGGAAUCUGAGAGAAGCUGCUAUUCUUCAGCAAGAGGGUGACUUGUUUUCUGUGACUAAAGGCAGAAGAUACUCCAGGCAGCUAGUUGCCAAGGGCUGGACAUAGUUAGGCAGAGUGGGAGGAUAAGGAAAAAGUGCUUGUUCUGUCAGACCAAGGGAAGGUGAUGGAAUGCUGUUGUGGGGAGGCCAGCUGUGGGGAAGAGGCAGCUAGUACUUUUGUUCCCAGCAGCUGCUUGGCAGCAGAAAUGUCAGGUCUGCCUCUCAGCCUCCUCUUCUAGCUGCUAGAAUUUACUUCAUUGUGCCAUGCUAAUGGUCUUGGCUAAAAUGAAAAUGAUUAAACCGCAUUUGACUUUAAUUUGUUGAACUGACAUGCACUUCUUUUUAUUCCCAGUGUGACAAAUUGCUAAAAGAGCAAACGAAAUAAAAUGUAAUUUACAGUUAGUCUGCAGUUGCGCGAACAUGGAAUUAAAAGCAAAAUAAUUUAAGAAUUGCACAGUACUUUAAUUAGAAAAAUUACUUUUUCCAAGUCUCCUAUGUUCUGUUUUCCAGCCCGUGUGCAGAUCAGGUCUUCCCAGAGUUUCUUAGAGUUGGGCCCCAUACUGUGAGACAACUUACUGGGGAGACAGCUAAAAUAUUUUGAUGGUUGUGUUUCUGGUACUUCUAGAAGUUUGGUGCAGCACUACAUAUGUGCAAAUACAGAUUUGCACAUAAAGAAGUAAAUCCCUUAUGCAUUUUGAGGCAACUCUGUUUUAAAAGUGCUGUUGGAGUGGUAAACUGGCGCAUCUAUUUGAUUAUAUUCGGUGGCAGCUGGGAGUAACAGCACUGAGAUUUUCUCAGGUAGAGUUAGUUAAGAAGACCUAAAAGAAAGUGAGAAGAACAUACCAAGAAAGAAAAGGAGUAUUUCGUGAAGAAUGAGUAAAGGAGCUUAAAUAGGAUCUAAAUAUUAUUAUAAAUUGUAGGUUUGUAAAGACCAGAUAUUGAAAGAUUUUUCUCAAGCCAUCAUUUUCUAGUUUCAUGGAGAGCAAUAAAACUUAUUAAUAUUACAGUAAAGAGAAAGAUGGGACAGUCAGUGAAUGAUUAAUGAAAUGUCCUAAUUUGGUAAGGGUAGGAAAAGAAAACAGAAGACCAGAGACAAGAUUACUCAGUGGUUCAUGUAAGUUUGGAUGUUGCUCAUUCUGGCUGAUUGUUUUGUGGUCUGUGACUCCAUGUGUGAUGAAAGUCUGCUAAUGAAUACAGACUGUGCAAAAUAUUUGUUGUUAGGAAACUCUAAAAGUCUUGCCUCUGAUGUUCACAGAGUUACAGGUAUCUGUGUAAUAAAAAGAAAAAAAAUGACAGAUUUUAAAGACAGCAAGGGAAACAGCUCAAGUCCGACAGGUCUUUUUUCUGUCCAUGUUAUACCUGAAUUACUCAAAUAUGUUACAAAGCUAGUUGAAAUACAAUUAUGUAUGUUAAAAGCUUUCUUUAGGCAUUAGGCCCUCACAUCCUUCAUGUCCCUAGUGAUAAAGGGGCAGGUUGAUCUGGCUAUAUAGGUAUGCCUAAAUUCCUCUUUGGAAAGUUGUAGAGGUCAGGGAAAGAGCAUACUUGUCUGAGUUGUGUGAUUAUCGGCAUUAGUUUGGUGCCAACAUCAGCUGGUCUGCAAAACACCUAAUGCAUAGUUUUCUGAAACAUUGAAAAGAACACCAAACUCUGCAUGUUCUGAACUGGGACUGCCCUAAAGUAUUGGCUGAGUUUAUGCCCAGAGUUCAGAAAACACUAAAUUUAAUGAUCAGCAGUGCAGUUAUUGUUACUAGAACUUGUGCUCAGGAACAUGUUGUUGAGUGUAACUGAUUUAAAGCAAGGCCUGAAGAUAAAGAUGGAAAGAUAAGAGAUGAUAUUGAACAUUAAAAAUAUUCUGGGAAACAUAAGUGCCAACUGGGUCUGUAAUCUUUAGUGAGAACACAAAUGAGAAAAGAUGCCAUUGUGAUGCAAAAACGUGCUAUCAGGGUAUUGGCUGUGUGUGAUAAGUCACCCAUCAACCAUCUUGUGACAUGAAUGUUGUGUUCUUUCUCUCACUAAAGACUGUAGCACACACAAAUGACAAAAUGGUGAAACAGUCCGUUUUAGUUCAGCUCAAUGAAUGAUUUCCCACAAACUCUGUUUCUUAUAAAAUAUUGACUUUUGCACUGUAUGUAGUCAGCUAUGAUCAUAUUGAAUCCUUGAACCUACCGGCUCUGCAAAAGUAAUUGAAUACUAUUUGUUAGCAGGUAAAACUGGUCGGUUACCAACAGCUUUCUGCACUUCUUUCUCUCUUUGUAUUGGUUAAUUUUGACUGGAAACCUCCAAUUUUUUUCUUGUCCUUCUUUGGCUGGCUGGCUGAGAAUCAUUUGUCUUGUGCAAAUAUAAAUGCACUGACACACUUCAGUUCAUUUUAAAAGCAUUUUUCUGAUCCUAGUAUCUUUGGCUUCAUCUUCGGAAUUUACUUUUGUAAACAUUUAUGCCAGCAAAACCCAAAUGAACAAGUUUUUUUGUUUUGUUUUGUUUUUUCCAGAAUGUAAAUACACAAAUGACAUUAAUGUGGCUUAAGUAAAUUUAUUUAUAAAUGCAAGCAAAUAUUCACAGAAAAUGUAGCCCCAUUAGCAGUCCCCAGAGCUUGUCAGUCUCAGAUGAGGUCAAGGACAGGGGGAUGUAAUGGUGUCAAAGAAAAACAGAUGCAGGCAGAUAACUGUUGUGUGAUUCAGAGAUAUAAUUCACCUGAAGUAAGAAAUGGGAUCUGAAAUGCAGCCUCACUCUCUUAAAUAGAAGGCACUCAAGCUUGUUUUUGUAGCAGGUUGCAAUUUUCUUAAAUAGUCUGUUCUACGUGUUCUUUUCCAGCCAAAAUAUAUUAUAUGUUUCUCUACUUUUUGAAGUGGGUAGUGUAGAGUGGUGUGAUUACAGCUUUUAGCAGCCACUUUUUGGCUGUCUGGGUCUCCUCUGGUAAUUGAAAACUUGUUUAUUGGCAUCAUUUGUUGGACUUUAUUUAAUCACUGCUUCUCCUCUAGAAGCUGCUUUAUCCCUUCCAAGGGUUGACUCUUUGCAUAGGCUUUGUGCUUUUUCUGAUGCUGGGUAAGCUCUGUUUCAUGCAAGCGUAGUUGUAAUUUAGAAGUGGUGAGGAGCCACCAGCUAUUUUGUUGGGGCUGUGACAGACUCUGUUCACCCAAGGCUCAGUACUGGCCUCAUACUAGGAGGGGGAUAGGUUCAUCCUCUCGCUGCCAUUCCCAGAAAGGUCCCCCUCGUUCCUCUGAGUGUGGCAGCAGGCAGUCUGGCCAUGGUUGUAACUGGGAAGAGUUUGCUUAACGUUGCUCUGUUUAUCAAAGUGGACCCUUGUAAACACUGGUCACUUUAGAUUUUUGUUUAAUCAAAUUACAUGCAGUGUAUACUAGAUUUUGCUAUAAUUUAAAUAUUGUCCUUUCCUCCUUGUCAACACAAUGUCUUGGCUUCACUUCCUCUUAAUCCUGAGAAGAAAUGGUUUUUAUCUUAUACUACUAUUAUUUUGUGGGGGGCCUGACAGAUGCUGGUACUUGCUGGCAGAGCAAGAGGAAUGCUGCUGUAAGCAACCAAAGUGUUUUUUGUUGUUGUUGUUUCUUUGUUUGUUUGUUUGUUUUUGGUUUUUUGCUGCUGUGAAAGAGAUCCAGGGACUGUGUUUGCCCCAGUAUAAUCACACUAAAUUUCUUUUUGACCCCUUAGGAAAAGCUGCAGGCAAGAUUCUUCUAAUGGUGUAGUUAUAACAAGGAGAAAGGGUCAUCAAGUCUAGAGUCCCAAGUGUUUAGUGCAGCUGAAUUUUCAGCUCAUCAGUUAGGAUAGGGCUUGCAGAUCAGUAUUGAAUUUUUCAACUUCCUCUGUGAAAAGGAUAGCUAAGAAGGGGUACUGAAUAGCAUUGCUUCUUUUAUAGAUUUGUGUGAUUACUUUUUAUGUAAAGGAGCAUCACUCUUGUACUGACACUUAUACACAAGAAGUACGUCCACAUAUGUGUGGUGAGCAUCUUCAUAUAUAUUUAGUGAACUUGUAUAUUUUUUCUUUCUGUCAGUCAAGAUGAUGGCUCAGUAAAUACAAAGCCCCUUCCUCAUGUUGUAGGUAACAUGGGCAAAGAGUAAUCAGCUGCCAGGUGUACCUGAAAAAAGAAAAUGGGAAACAAAUAAUUGCAAGGUACAUGUUUUAUAUUCCUGUGAACAGAAUACAGACUGUAUAUUCAACUGCCCUUGUGUUGUUUGAGAAUUGCCAGCAAUUAAUUGCUGAAAAUUCAGAACUGAAUCCUAAAUGUCCUUGUUUAUUUGCACUAGAAUAUGAAAUACAUAGAGACAUGCCCAUACAUAUACAUACAUGCCUAUUUAUAGAUUUGUGACACAGGAUAGACUUCUCUUUCACUGUUCAAUGACACAUUCUUCAGAGCUCUGGCACAGAUCCAGUUAAGCAAGCCAGACAAGGGAAUUACUGUCUUCUUCUGAGUUUAUAACAAGCCCACCUACUCAAUUAAGUUGUACUGGUGACAUAAAAUUAGAAUACAUGCAGAGUGGGUGGUUAUUUCUUUAUAAAAUCACAUUAUUCCUAGUGCAAUAGAAGUACAAGGUUCUUCCCCCCAAAAUCACUUCUCCUACCCAAAAUCAUACUUGCUGGGAGCUGUCAUCUGGGAAGGGACCUAUGUUGUCCAAAAUUAUACCCAGUACAGCUGCUUUUCAUCAUUUGUUCUAAGACACUUAAAACUGACUCUGCCUUAGCCAGUAAAUUUUAGUCUAUUGCCUUUUUGUACAAUGAUGCAGAAAAUCUUUUUCCUCCCUCUAUGGUACUCACUGAGUACCUCAGCCUUCGUAUCCGUUGAAGUCAUUUCUGCCUUCUCAUUUAUUAGACAGCAUACACUCUCCUUUGCCUGUCUUUUCUAACCAAUUUACCUGUAAAAUCCCUUCUUGUUAUUUUUUCACAUCAUUACCGAGUUCAGUUCCUUGAUCUCAUCUCUGCAUGUCAGGGUGACAUCUCUAUGUUAUUCCCAGGCCACAUGUUCCUGCUUCCACUGCCUGUACAUUUCCUUAUUUUCCCUCACUUUGACCAGCAGGUCCUUGCUCAGCCAUGCUGGUUUCCUGCCUCCUCUGCUUGAUUUCUUAUGAUGGGGGAUGGAGAGCUCUUGUGCACUUCAUACACAGAUCCAAAUAUGUAUGUGUCUAUAUAUAUAUAAAUAUAUGUAUCUACAGUACAUAUGUGAAUACAUUAUUCGCAUGUAUGUAUGUGAAUAGAAAUAUAUAUAUUGAGGGCUUAUGAUGUUUCCUUUAUUCUCUUGGAAAAGAUAACAGUGGCUACUUUUGACAGUAGUCUACUGUAUUUUAGAUAAGGUCUUUGAUACUUUGGAUAGAGAACUCCCUUAUGUACCUUAUGAAAUAUCCAGCAUUGUCUUUCUCUUGCAUCUCUAGACUACAUCUGAAAAGCUGCUUUGCCAGAUGGCACUGUAAAUCUGUAACAUUUGAAUGUAUUUUUGGCAGCUCUGGGCAUGCGUAGUAUCCUGGGUGAAAUAUUUUUGCUUGCCAGGCUAAAAAAGUGUGUAAACUUCAGAACUGUAUUCAGUGACACCUGAAUACCUACCUAUAUUUUUCCAAGUACCCAUAGAGAAUCUGUCUUACCCGAUAAUAAGUAGAUAAAGUAAAAGUGUAUAAUUGUCUACUAUAUCUCUCACCUGACUCUUACCAAAAGAUGUGGAAAAAGUAGAGGCUUCCUUUAAGAGUUCUCUGCUAAUGUUCUGGAUCUGGGAGUGCUGAACAAAACUUACCUUUAAUAUUCCAGUAGGCAUUCAUACUUUCAUCAGUAUAGUAGAGAUUUUUUUGUUUUAGGUUAUGACCAUAACUAUCUGUUAUUCACAGAGCUAUUUUGUAGUACAGGCAGUCUCCCCUGUAUUACAACUUAAGAUGUGUGUAAAUAGUCUGACCUCUUUAUUUUCCUGGAGCACACAACUAACAUAAUUUACAGAAUACAUGAUGUUUGGUGAUAUUUACAAAAAAUGGAUGACAUCUACAGAAAAUAAAAUUAUUAACCCAACGGAAAUUCACAAAGCAUUUGGAAUCCAGGUAACAGAUGUGAAAAAGAAGUAGAAAAUGCUGACUGAAAUUUCAAAUCCUACCAGGUUCCAGACACAGCCACAACUUUGUAUUCAUUUGGCUAAUCAAUAAUUAGAAGCAACUGUAGGGCAGCUUGAAGAAUGAAGAUUGAAUUUUAAUACCGGUUGUUUCUUAGUGAUAUUGAGAUUUUAAGUCAGUGCUUUGGACUGAUUCUGUUACUUGAAGUUUGAAUAAUAAUCUUACGCAAGUAUAUAUGAAAUACUAGUAAGCAGUGCCACUAUCUUUUAGCUUACUCCUGCAUAAGUUUGCUCAUAUUUAGACUUCUUUUCAAGUGGAGCAGAUUUAAAUGGGUAUAUGUCUUGGGAAUAUGCCUACCAACCUGCUCGUCACCAGUGGAAGGAAUUCCUCUCUUUCUCAUGCAGAUGUACCAUUAUACAGAAAGCUGGUGAGCGUAGAAACAUAGGUCUGUAGUUCAGUGAUGAGGACUCUUUUCAACAGAAGUGCAGUCUUGUGUUCUAGUCCCUCUCUUUUUAGCUAAUUUCUCCUUCUGUAUCUUAUGUUAAGCAGCUUAGUCUCUGGAUCUCCAUCAUGAUGUUCUGCUAAUUGUCAAGCUGUUGAGCCUUGUCAAAACUAAAAUGCUCUGAUGAUUCCUAUAUUUUCAAUUCAAUUCUAAAUGUCUUGGGAAAAUUGAAGUGGAGUUAAUGCAGUUUAAGCAUCUACAGGAUUAAACAGAAGUUGCAUACUCAUAGUACAUGAAUAAAUGCCUUAUCCAUAGCUGUGUGCUUAAAAAUUAUACCAUCCAAUGACCAUUUCUGCUUCUCAUAGCUACUUUAGGUGUUCCUUCCAAAGCUUCUUGAUCCUGAUAUUUUCUCUGCAACUCUUCCAUAAACUCUACUUCAACCAAUUCAUUACAGGCAUGAAAUGAAAUGAAAAGAAACAGUUAAGAAAGAUAUGGAAAUUUUAAGCAAAAGCUGGCGUUGGAGGGUGGAGGUAAAGAAGUAUGAAAAGAUUAAAAAAAAAAAAACAUAACAAAAACAACCACAAAACAUCAAAGUACAAAACUGCAGGGAGGAAUGAAAAGAAAACAACAGCAACAGCAGUGAAGACAUGAAAGCAUUCUCAGUAUUUUGGUUGAAGUACAGUUCAUAUACAAUAUGGAACUUAACACAAUUAACAAUUAGAGAUAACAAGAUUUGAGGAAGACAAGAUCAUCAGGCAUUCCAUUUUUUUCAUUUGUUUAUUUUUACUGUUUGGAUCUUGUUUGAUUUCUUACCAUAAAGACCAGGUUUUUUUUAUUCUGUGGUUAUUUCAAAGUCCACAGAUAUUUAAAAACUUCAGAGUACAUUCAGAAAGGAUUUUGGGAGAUGGUAAGAAAUUUAAAAUCAUUUUGGAUCCAGAGACAGAUGAAAAAUCCAGUAGCAUGUUAAAAUGUGUAUAACUGAUGGCAAACCUAAAUCAAGAAAACUGAAAGGAGUUCAGAUAUUUCAGUGGAGAAGCUGGAAUUUAUUAACCUGAAAAAGUAAUGUUCUGCCUCAGCUUUUCCAGCCACUGAUUGUAAGUUUACUUAAUAUAGAUAUGUUUUCUAGACGAUUGAAUCAGUAACUAUUUUGGCUGAAGAUGGCAUGUAUAAGUGAAGUAGUCAGAAGUAUGCCUGUGAGCCAUGCUUAGGUUUUUGGAUCUGCUUUUAGCAAACCACAAAUGUAUCAUAACAGAACACAUCCCUUGAGUGCCCUCCAACUGACUCACCUGUGUUCAGACUCCUGGUAUAAAAUCCCUUUAGGAGAUGUUGAGGCUUUUGUCACACCAGUGAUGAGGAUUGGCUCUUUUCCUGAGCAGAUGACUUGGUUACCUAUCCUAUGAAACAUGACAUAUAGCAUAUGCUCCAUUGCAGCUAUGACAGUCAUACCUACUAUUGCUCCCAAAAUAAAGAAAACCUGUGUCCUCUGUGAUAUUCGCUUGAAUGAUGGGGCUUAUUCAUUCAGCAAAGGGAUUUUCCAUAUAGUGCUUCAUGUCUAGCCAAUUUACCACUUACUGGUGGAUCUUGGAGAGUGUUUCACACAAUGUCAGUGUCCCUGCACAUUUUGACUUUUGCCUUAAGAUAGUAGUGUAUAACAGCAGAGUCUGUCAGCUACCACUGAACUCAAGAGUUAAAAGCUAGAGGUAGCAUGUUUUCACCAGUGCAGACUGUGCGCUUUAUGGUUGUGCAUUCUUUGCUUACCUUAAACUGCAAAAGAAAUUGAGGCAGGAGCCACUGAGUUUCUGGAGAUAACUUCUUGCCUCUUGAGGACAUACUAGUGUCUGUUCCCAUUUCAGGCUUUUGGUGGUAAUGUGGCUAUGACUUGUAAAUGUGGUGCCCCUCUCUCUUUUAUAGCACCGAAUCUGGGUUAUGCUAAGCAAAAAUGGCUCAUUCUCUUGCCCUGUAGCUUAGAAAUAAAGCAAAAUACUUUAGUGGGGGAAAGACAAUUCUGGGGGAACAGAAAUUAUUGUUUCCUGCCGGGUGGAGACAGAGCAACUAGUGAAGUGUUGAUGAACUAAACUCUUUGAGAAUCUUUCUCCUUCACAUGUCUCAAUCUGUGACCUUAGUAGCCUUGCUUUUCUUCUGGGAAUCCUUAAAAAUAUUCUGUGCUGUAAAUAAUUGAUAGGUAUAUUAUAUAUAUAGCUAUCAUGGUACCUUUAACCUUCAUAUUUCUGAUUAACCAUGCCCUCAAAAUCUCUAUUUCUAUUUGGGACAUUACAGCUCUUUGUAGUGGUAUAAUUCAGUCUCCUGAGCACACAUGUUACAAUGGUUUCUGACCUCCAGAUGUGUUUAUUAUAAUCCACUCAUUGUGAAGAAACAGCAGAUAAUGAUAAAAGUUCAAAGCAGUAAAAAUUGCAAGCAACUGAAAGCAUCACUCUUCUGUUCUGCAUUCCACUCAGACUCUCUAGUGAAUAUAUGUUGUAGAUUGUUUUAUACCCUGAUAUUCAGAGCCCUAUAUAUUUUAAAUAUACUCCUUGCUAUAAGUUCUGACAGCUGCAUUCUAUUGAAAUCACGAAGCUGUGACCAGAGGAUGAAAUCUCAGUAGCACAGAGAGGAAAACUAAGCUUAUGAAACUUAGCACAGGUAUAAAUAAAAAUGACUCUCAACCUCACACCAUUCAGCAAAAUUCAGCUCGUUGAAUUGGCUUUCCCUCAUUAAAUUUCUUAUGCUCAGACACACACUUUUCCAUCUUCUCUUUCUGAUCACUGGAGAAUUAAAAGAGACAUUUAUCUUUGAAAUUUUUGGGUGGAGUUUAGAUAGCUUGUAAUAAAUAGAAAUGCAACAGUUUAACAAUACCAUCUUCCUGCUUAUGCUAUAGAAUAUAUACGUAUAUACAACUGGUUUUCAAGGUGCCAGGGGAAUUAGAAGAGAACAUGAGAUUGUCAUGAAGUCCCUUAGUUCAGUCCUAUAUUCAUAGGUGCUGAGAGGGAGUGUAACAGCUGGAGAUGAUCUGGAAAACGUGACAUUGGAGUAAUCCUGCUUGACUGAACUUGAAUCAACAUUUUUGGCAUAAAGAAACAUGGACAUCCUGAUCUUUUCAAAGGCUGUGUGAGACUAAGCCUUUGAUCAUUUGUGGGAACAAUCCUAGUGCUUCUUCCUCUUCUGUUUGGAAAAUUAUACAUGGUCUGACAUUGGUGGGCAAAAGAACUUAGCUCAAUUUUCUGCUGAGAGUUCGUGAUUAGAAACUAUCAUUGGAAAGAAAGAUUGAUGUAGACUGGGACUGUGGUAUUGAGCUUCUAAUUUUUUAUUAUACUUCUUGAUGUGUCACUCAACUAAGAUUUCUUUUUUGAAGUGGGGCUGUAGAUCACUGUCAGAAGUUGUCUCUGUUCAUACAGUUUAUUUUUUACUAUUGUCUUGUUAGUGGUUUUAUUGUUGACUGACAGUAGCUGGAUUCCAGCUGCUGCUUCACAUGUAUUUCUUCUUCGUAAUGCCUGAAAAGAUAUUAUUUGUGGAAGAAUGUACCUGAAUAUUUACCUUUUGUAUGCUUCUAGUUAAUAGAAUCCAUGCUCCUGCAGUGUCUUUUUAUCUUCUGAAAGUCCUGUAAACAGAGAACGGUAGAGGCCUACUCUAACUUUAGAGUUAAGAAAUCAUUUAUAGAAAAAGAAGCAUUUAAUGUGUGUAGAAUGUGCCUGUUUUAAAAAUUUAUUGGAUAUGCUAUAAAACAUUAUGCAUUCUUUUUUGGCUUCAGCUCUGAUGUUUUGCUUAUGAUGUAUCUGAUCCCAGAGUAGAAGUAUCUUGAUCAUGACAAUUCAGCUAUACAUCUAUUCUUAAUCUCUUUCUUCCAUAAUUGUGAUUAAAACUCACUUUGAUACCAUUUCUUAGAUUUACAUACCUUUUCAGAUUUUUCUUGUUUUCUGUUGAGUAGCAUACAAAAGUAAAAGAAUCACUUUACUCUUAUCACAAAGGUAUAGGGAUUAGGACUGGAAAUGACAUUCAGGAUAAAUUUAUCUAGUCACAUGUUUUAACACCUUGGUAUGUGUUGGAAUUCUAAAAUGUAUCCUGACCUCUGUAUGUAUCUGAAUGGCCUUUGCUUCCAGGAUAGACUUGACUAGUUUUAUUUCUGAAAUAGAUGAUGUAGAGAUUAAUCACUUAGAGCUGUAUGUACAGCAUUGUCAAAAUUAAUAGUUUCUUUCUUUUUCUUAUCAUUACAAUACUCAUUUGAAUGAUCCUGCAGUUGGUCAUGUUCAUAAGCAUCUGUUCGUUUUUUGGUGGGUUGUCUUGUAUUCUUCUCCCUUUGGCAUGCUCUUAUACUAGUAAAAAACAUCAAGGGCUAUGACAUUUGUUUCUGAAAUAGUUUAGGACAAGGCUAAAGAAAAGAUAACCUCUUACUCCAAAGCCUUUAUUCGUAAUUGCCACAAAGAGCUGUUCCAUUUAGGCUCAUUCACAAUACUUUCCUUAUGCCAAAAUAUUACUUACAAAGACAGGCGUUUGAGAGUGGCGUUUGAAUGAAGUUACAUGUUUAGUUUGGUUGCUGUAAAAAAAAAAAAAAAAGCUUUUUUUGUACACUUUUCUUUUUUAACAUACUUUUAGCGGGACUUUAAGAGGUUUGAACAUCAAGUCAGAUGAGCAUUCAACAAAAUAAAACCUUGGUCCAUCUGUCAAGCUAUUGCAUUUCAUUUGUAAUACGUUCAGUACAUUUGCUACAUUCCAUCAGUUAGUUCCUGUCCCAAGAAGAAGAUAUCUAUAUGUGUAAGAUUAGCCAACAAAUUGAUUACUUGGGGGAAUGAAAGAGAUCCACACUUCUGGCAUUUGAAAAUCUGCAUUCAGUACUUGAUUGAGUGUCCCUCUGUAUUUAUCAUUGGAAUAUACUUAGGUACCUGUUAUCAUAUGUGAACAUUUGUGAAGAUCACAAUAAAUAAAUAAAUAAAAAGGGAAAAAACUUAGAGGUGUAUUGGAACUCCUUAGUAAAGCGCAGAUUUUGGAAGAAAUCUCUUAUAUGACUCCAGCUUAAAUAAACUUCAGUUGCAUACAACUCAACCACACCAAAAGGACUCCGGUAACAAUAAUAAAAGAUAAUAGUCUUCUAGAUAUCUCAAAGACAAAAUUUUAUAACAAUCAAAAUAGCAGGAAGACAAUUUAAAUAUCUCUCUAGAAUUCACACAUCAGUUAAACUGUAAAUCUGAAUAAUGCUAAAUAAAUCAAACAUGACAUUCGUUUUUGCUAACUACCUUCUGCUAUGGUCUGAAUACCAGCUGUCUGAUACUUUCAAAUAUGAAAAAGGUUAUGGUGUUGAAUUAACUUCAUCCCAUCUAGAAAGGUGAAAAUGGUGUUCUUGCUUCCAAUUCUGUUCAGGUGAUAAUUAACUAGAAAUAAAAUAGUAAAUAUGAUGCAGCUGUUGUAUGGAAUUAUGAACCUGCCAUUACUUGUUGUAUUGAAAUCAAUAGCUGUUUAAAGUCAAUGGGAUCUAUGAGAUGAACAGAAUUUGAUUCUCGUUAGACAUUUUCUUAUGCUCAUAAUCCUCAAGAAUUUUCCCAAGAAAAUAUCUGUUAAGUUAGAUUCUGAGUUAUUUACUGGAGAAAAAUAGAACAAUUAUGAUGUCUUUCUGUAUAGCUUUUGAGAAAGAUAUGGAAAUGUUCUUUCUAGGGCAGAAAGAAUAUUCAGAAAGACAACUGGAUUACCCACUCUGUACUACAGAUUGUCGAGGGGUCUGUAAAUUUCCAUGCUUCAACCACCUGACUUCUAGCUUCUGUGGCUGAUUUGUUGUUGGGGAGCAUUGUUCUCCCUGAUGUGUCACUUUCCCUUUGAAGGAGCUCAGAAGCUGUGCACUGACAUGAUGUAGUUUUAAAGAACUGCUCAUAAUUUCUUCCCAGGCUACCUCUCCAUCUUCCUUGAAUCACUGAUUUAGAUUAAGUUUUGAAUAACAUUUCACCUUAGUCAGUAACAUAGGACUAACGUGCAAAAUCUGGAGAAAGCCAGAAUUAUUAUUAUUAGUAUAUACAUAAAUAUUAUGCAUAUUUAUUGGAUACUUAUUAUGUACUACUUGUUAUUUAUUACUAUUAUAUUAGUAAUAGGGUUGAUAUAUUUUUCUUCAAAUAGCUGAUUAUGUUAAUAAGUAAAGAUAUCAGUUAUGAAAGUUAGACUUUGUUAAAUAUUGAUAGCGAACUCACAAAGCUUGUCCAUACUUUAUUACAAAAAUAAAUGAAAAAUUCCAAAAGCUGUUAGUCUAUUUGAAGCAUUCAUGAUUUUGAUAAUUUUCAAGAGCACUGCUGCUGACAUGUCACCCUGGGGGUAACUUCGGUCAUUUAUUUACUUUCUGAUAUGUUUGAUAUAACACUGUCAGAACAGAAAAGAUGCAAAGCAAUUAAAAAUCCUCUCCUUGCCCAACUGGAGUAAUUUACCAACACACAGGCUCUUUGAUGCAUUCAGUUUUAUUGUGAAAAAAGCAAAACAAAACACUGUGUAUUUCUUACAGCUUUUGACGAGAUUCAUUUUGAAUCUUUGUGUCAGGAGAUGUACAAGUGUUAUCUGUAAAUGAGAAAUGUAUGCAAGGUAGUCAACUACUGCUGAAUUUCAAUGAACUUUGUGGUUCUAAUGUCACAAAGCUCUGUCAAGUGUUAACAGAAAUUAAAGGUAAAAUUCAUAUGGAGCUUUCACAAAUCACAAACUUAUCUGUCAACAUUUUAUAAUAACCUAACAGUUAUGAUCUAUCAAGGUAUUAAAGUGCAAUUCUGAGCCCCAAAGGAAAAAUCAUGACAUUCUCAGACCAGUAAAAUAACAAUAAAUAUUUUUAUUGAACAGUGUUGUCAAGCUUUCCUUUCAAACUUUUCUCACUAAUUGCAUUUCAAACAACUUCCAUUACAAAUUCUGAAAGUAAACAGGAAAAAACACUGAGACUGUUAUAACUUUGAAAUGCUUAUCUUUCUUUUCUCUUGCAUAUUUUUAAAGCCAGUUUUAUAUUUUUUAUAGUGUAGUUUUCUUUACAAGCACAUUAAAUUGUAGAACUGCAACUCCCAUUUGGCAGGGCAGGAGAGACAUUUAAUACCUGAAAGCAUUCCAUCUUCUCUCUCAACACUUAUGUUUCUGUAAAGACUCUCUUACAUUAAUCCAGACAUUGUACAGUAACUUUUUUUGUCUACUUGGCCCUAACUUUGAAAAUCUAUCAGGUCUAUGAAGUUCAUUAUGCUUAUUCAAAUCUGUAUUAAUCUUAUUUUCUGCUGCUGAAAAUACAAAGGAAUAGAGCCAGAUUCUGGUCUGCGUUACAGCUUGGUUUUGCUGCUUCAAGGUUCAAAGGGCCAGAAAGGUAAUCAGAACAGUCAGCAAAGGUUUGGGUCAAUUUCAUCGACUCCACUUUAGUUUUCCAAUAUGAAGUCAUGUCAAAUUUCAAAUAUUUUCUGUUACAAUAACAUCUGCUUGGCAUUGUCUAAAUAAAAAAUUAUCCAGGAAGAGUGUAUCAUAAUUACUUAUCAGUUUGCCAUUGCCUUUUCACUGAAUGGUUCGAAAGUUGUGUGGUUAGUCAAGGUGUGGAAAAUCGAAGUUCAGUUCUUAUAGGUGUAUGUGUUUGUUAGACAUACCUGUCUGAGUGGAUUAGAACUCAUAUGCCAAGAAAGUUUUCUGAUGUCUAGGCUGUACAUAGCUCACUCUUUAAUACUGGAACUAUUUUUUUCUUAGUUAAACUUUCAAAAGAUCAGGGACAGGAUGGAUUACCUUUGGCCCUAUGUGAGUGCCGUAAUGAUCAAAAGAUUGUUACUAUUUUUUGAUCUAGUACAGUAUAGAAUGGCCCAGGUUGGAAGGGACCUCAAAGAUCAUGAAACUCCAACCCCCCUGCCAUAGGCAGGGCCACCAACCUCCCCAUUUAAUACUAGACCAGACUGCCCAGGGCCCCAUCCAAACUGGCAUUGAAAACCUCUAGGAACAGGGCAUUCACAACCUCUCUGGGAAGCCUGUUCCAGCACCUCACCACUCUCAUAGUAAAGACAUCCAAUCUAAAUCUUCCCUUCCUCAACUUAAAACCAUUUCCCCUUGUCCUGCUGUUACCUACCCUUUCAAGAGUUGAUCUAUUAAUUACUGAAUGCUUUAUACAAAAUCAAAGAGAAGACCUUCAAAUGCCUAUUUUUUUUUUUCAGAUACAAAGGUAUACAUAUAUAUAUAUGUAUACGUUUAUACACUAUAUAUGCGUAUACCUAUAUAGACUCACUCUAUAUAUAGUAUCCUCAUGUUCAAGCAUCAUCUUUUUCUACUUUUGAACAGUGUAUGCUUAUGCAGGCUAGCACAUAUAGCUCUUAAAUGGGUAACUGCAUAUUGGAAAUAAAACUGCAUUUGGAAAGGAAUCUCUUACAGGUGAUGUAUGAAAUUUUAGUAGUUUUUUGCAGUGAGAAUCUAAGGUAAAGGCUUAUCCUCUGUUUUGGUGGCUGGGACAUGUGCUUUAGAAAUGUUUCAACUCUCUUUAGCUGGAUAUAGAUCUUGAAACUGUACUUCCAGUGUGUCAGGUAGACACUGUUACCAACUACUGUAUGUAUUUAUAGAGGUUGUCUCCUGUUAGGAGUGUCUGUCCUUUUGUUUCCUUUCCAAUUUUAUACAAGAAAAAGAAAGGAGCUUUAGGGGUUUUCCUUUUCAGCAACAAAAGCCAUUUUACUAUUUUAAUCAUUUUAAGUUUUGUUUGCUAUAAACUAUUUUUUACAGGUAAUUUUUUCUAUUUCAUAUAAUCUGCCAAACCACAAAUAAUCUCUGUCUCCUUAUGUCAUAAAACCAUAGUUUUAGGUUGUGGACAAACAAUCAUUUUUGUUUAACUGCAGUCUUUCUGAUACCUUCUUCAUCCUGUUACUGAAGUUUUGACUUAGUUGCUAUGAAUCACUGUUUUAACAGUACUCAUAUUUAAUCUAUAUGCUGCUGUCCUCCCUAUAGCAGAAGUAUUAACUACAUGUCAGACAAGCAGUGUAAGAGAAAGGUACAAAUUAUUCUACUUCUCUAGGAGAGAACGUGCUCCAGGGGAGCAAAAGGGUGGCUGGGGCUUGCUUUCCUAACAUCAAAGAUCAUUGCACAGGGAUCCUCUUGCAGGGGACUAUUUAUGUGCUUGGAAAGUUUUGCGGGGAUAAUUUCAGUAAAACAAAGCUGAACUAAGGGAAUACUUGUUCCAAGGGGAGAUUUCCUGCCUUCAUUAUAAACUUCAUUAUCUGUAAGAAAACCUCAAGAUGCUUGCUGCAAUUGCCAACAGCCUACUCAUCUCAGAACCUUACUAUGACCUCAUUAUUUCAUUGACCAUUUGCUUAAAUGUGCUUGCUUUUUAGACCCUGUUAUUUAAUACUUCUUACUAGAUUUUAACUCUCUUGUUUUGCUUUGAAUAUUUAUUAAUGUUUAUUUGUAGGGAAUAAUGUUCAGUACUCGCUUCACUGUACGAUCUUUAAAAUGAUGUAAUGCUUAGAUUGUAUCUUCCAUGCAAAAGGAGUACAUAUAUUCCCAAUACUGACAUUUUUAACUUGUAUGCAUGUAUGAAAACAAAACUAGAAUGCCUGAGGAAAAUCCUCAAAAAUUUUAUUUAAAAUGAUAAAAAGAAUAAUUAAAAAAAAAGACAUUUUUUCAUCAUUAGCUCUAGGUUAUGAUACUACUGACUAGAAGCAUUUCAGCUUCUAGGCAGGGACAUUAGGACAGAAAGAGUUUGCAUUAGCUUAAUGCUUGGACUGUCUUUCUUCACUAAAAAACUCCUGUUGAAGCAGAGUUGGUAGAAGAAAGGAGAUUGCUUUCUUGCAGUGAUAUCUUUUUUGUCUAAGAACUGUCUCAGUACUGCAGAAGUACUAAGAACUACAGAAAUAGCUUAAGAAUGUAUUUGUAGUUAUAUUAUAACAUGCCAUAUAUACCUAAAGGUAUCAUAAAUCUGGCGAGUAUUGGAGAAUCCAUUGUGAGGCAUAUUUUGAAUCCAUUUCUACCUGGAGAAUUUUCAUUCUGAGGUAAUUCCAUUUGUACAGGAGAAAUAUUUUGCUUGGAAAGGGGAAAUUGGUGUUCCAAGUUUAAUAGAAUCUGGAGUCCAGGAAAGACAACAAAGAUACAUUUCCUUGCACAUUUAAACAUUCAUAAAUUUAGAAAAUGACAUUGUUCAACAUAAACAUUAAAUCCCAGUUUUAAAACCUCCUCUUCUUUUGUGGGCUAAGUAUUCCAAGUAUAACUGGAGUCUUCAAAGUUACUUUUUUGUCCUUCUUCAAACUGUGCUGUGUUAGAGUCAUGGUGCAGCUUUCCAAUUUUAUGUGUUUUAUGUAACACAGAGCAUAACUUAAGUGCUCACUUUUGGAAUAUUCCUUUUGAUUUGGUAGUUGUUGUAAAUUUUAUAGCAUUAGAAGCUAAUAUUUUGUGGCAUAAUUCCUUCAGAGCUAAUGUCUCCUUCUUUUAUGGUAUUCUCGGAGAUACAAGUACCUGAAAGUACCUGAAGUUAUAUACUAGUUUAUUCCUGUAAGUAAUAUCUGUGGCUGUAACAGAUAAUACUGUAAGUAAAACCCAGGGGAGAAUUUGUGGAUAGUAGGCACAGCAGUACUAUGUCUCUGUGUAGUGGAUUAUAGAGUAAUAUUUUUCAUUUUAGAUUUUGACCUAUGCAUACACUUAAUUAAUAUGGUUGCAGAAUUGGGUCACUGAGAAUUAUCUAGUGUCUCACUUGCUUGAGGCCUCUGUCUUGAGCUCAGAAUCUUUGAUUUCUUAACUGAGUCAGAAAGAGUGUAUUCUGGAGCAAGACUAUAGCUUUGUUUUUGGGCACCAGAAAUGUGUUUGGAGGAUUUGUGGUAUACAGAGUGUUACUCACAGUCUACAUUGCAGUAACAUGGAAAGAGCUUUGGGUUUAUGUGUACAAAACUAGCUGAAUUUCAUGUUCCAAAGAUUUUUAUUCUUUCAUAGUUCUUGUCAGUUCCAUCUAUACGCUAAGACGUUUGCUAUUUCAGCUAAAAUUUUAUCCCUUUACCAAUUCACCUUGUUUUUCCAUUAGUAUUGCCUUUUUAAAAUUAGCGUAAAGGAGUAGUUUCAUUUUGAUUUCCUGAUUCAAAUUACUGAAUUCUAUUGAAUAAGAUUUCAAACAGCUUGAACACAAAAGAUAAACAAUAACAAUUUCUUUGCUUUCAUACAACUUUUGAAGCUUGUUUGCCAGUACCAGUCCUAUCAGUGAGGUGGCCACUCUGCUAAAUCCACCAGAGAAAAUGAACAUAAAAACAAGAUAACACAAAGGCUGCAUUAAAAUGUGAGAAAUAUUUCAGUGCCCAAAUUCAGCUACUUGUGUCAAGGAUACAUAAUGAGACA
rnacentral:lncRNA from 1 species